rnacentral:rRNA from 1 species
GACGAACGCUGGCGGCGUGCUUAACACAUGCAAGUCGAACGGUGAAGGGGCCUGCUUUUGUGGGUCCUGGAUGAGUGGCGAACGGGUGAGUAACACGUGAGUAACCUGCCCCCUUCUUCUGGAUAACCGCAUGAAAGUGUGGCUAAUACGGGAUAUUCUGGGUCUGUCGCAUGGUGGGCUUGGGAAAGAUUGYGCCUUUUGGGUGUUUUUGGUGGGGGAUGGGCUCGCGGCCUAUCAGCUUGUUGGUGGGGUGAUGGCCUACCAAGGCGGUGACGGGUAGCCGGCCUGAGAGGGUGGACGGUCACACUGGGACUGAGACACGGCCCAGACUCCUACGGGAGGCAGCAGUGGGGAAUAUUGCACAAUGGGCGCAAGCCUGAUGCAGCGACGCCGCGUGAGGGAUGGAGGCCUUCGGGUUGUGAACCUCUUUCGCCAGUGAAGCAGGCCUGCUCCUGUGUGGGUGGGUUGACGGUAGCUGGAUAAGAAGCGCCGGCUAACUAC